UUGAGCCGUAUGCAGGGGAACUUGCACGUACGGUUCUUAGGGGAGGGGUGCGCAGCGAUGCGCGCUCCUUACCCUCC
rnacentral:ncRNA from 1 species